GACGAACGCUGGCGGCGUGCUUAACACAUGCAAGUCGAACGAAGUGGCGAACGGGUGAGUAAUACGUGUGUAACCCGCCCUCCUUUUUGGGAUAAGCCUUGGAAACGGGGUCUAAUACCGAAUAAAGGGGGCUGGGCUCGCGGCCUAUCAGCUUGUUGGUGGGGUGAUGGGCUACCAAGGCGGUGACGGGUAGCCGGGCUGAGAGGGUGAACGGCGACGUUGGGACUGACAUACGGCCCAGAGGACGACGGGAGGGAGCAGUGGUGGAUAUUGAACAAAGGGCGAAAGACUGAUGCAGCGACGGCGAGUGGGGGAUGAAGGCUGUCGGGUUGUAAACCUCGUUAGCUAUAGAGAGGGUAGGUGGCGAGGAAGCGCCGGCUAACUACGUGCCAGCAGCCGCGGUAAUUC
rnacentral:rRNA from 1 species